rnacentral:tRNA from 1 species
GCCGGGGUGGCUGAGCGGUUAAAGCGCUGGCCAGCUCGUAAGCCCGGACUCGAGGCCUUUCAUUAGAGAGGCUAGGUAGCCAGUGGCCCCUUACGGGCCUCGUGGGUUCAAAUCCCACCCCCGGCGCCA